rnacentral:rRNA from 1 species
AAAUAGCUUAAGGGCUAGCCUCGAGGUAAAGUGUCAUGGAGGUAGAGCUCUGUUUGGACUAGGGGCCCUUCUCGGGUUACCGAAUUCUGAUAAACUCCGAAUGCCAUGUACUUUUACUCGGGAGUCAGACUGCGUGUGAUAAGAUCCGUAGUCGAAAGGGAUACAGCCCAGACCUCCAGUUAAGGUCCCCUAAUAUAUGUUAAGUGGAAAAGGAUGUGGGGUUGCUUAGACAACCAGGAAG